rfam:Canis lupus familiaris chromosome X, whole genome shotgun sequence.
AACUUUGCGCAGUGGCAGUAUCGUAGCCAAUGAGGUUUAUCCGAGGCGCGAUUAUUGCUAAUAGAAAGUUACUGCUCUAAUAAAAGAGGGUCAGAUAAAGUUCUGUGAAAUGUAAUUAUUUAGUCAUUUAAAAAUAU